GACGAACCGUGCGAACGUUGUUCGGAAUCACUGGGCAUAAAGGGCGCGUAGGCGGCUUUUCAAGUCAGGGGUGAAAUCCGGCAGCUCAACUGUCGAAGUGCCUUUGAUACUGGGAAGCUCGAGGGAGGUAGGGGUGUGUGGAACUUCCGGUGGAGCGGUGAAAUGCGUUGAUAUCGGAAGGAACGCCGGUGGCGAAAGCGACGCACUGGACCUCUUCUGACGCUGAGGCGCGAAAGCCAGGGGAGCAAACGGG
rnacentral:rRNA from 2 species